CAACUUCUUCCAGAGAGGAUCCAGAAAUUAUUGCCUCUGUCAGAGGUUUAAUUUACCUGUAACAUUUGUUAGUGGCACACAUGGAAUAUGUCUCUGGUAUUGUAUCAUACACAAUACAGUUUCAAACGAGAAGAAGCAGAGAGUCUGUGCCAAAACCAGUGGUGUAUCCUGCAGGGUCCUUCAUUAAGCUCCAGAGCAGUUCCAUCCAUGAAAUGAAGGAGAUGAGGAUGUGUGCAGCCCAAUAUUCAUAUUAGUCAUGAAGAAAGUGGGAGUAUGAGAAGGAUUCCAGGCACUGUGACUGGAACAUCUGAUGUGGGCUGGAGCAUAACAGGAUCCCAAACCCUGUCAUGUUAAUUACUGGACAUCAGUUUAGCAGUGACUCUACAUCUGAGAGACAGUGAGAAUAAUUUUAGCUUAAAGUGAAGGAAGUUUUGUCCCUCCAUCCUGGGGAAAUUGCUAUUGACAAAUAGCAAAAAAGGUCUUGUUUGAUAAUAAAAUAUAGUAUUUUAGGAAUACCUAAAUGACAUUUAAUAGCUUAAAAGCAAUUGGGAGACCAUUGUUCUUUGCUAUUUUUGCUAUUUUAUUGAUUUUUUUUAACAAUCAAUAUUUAUACAUGAAUGAGGAGCUAAACAAAGAUUCUACCAGGCAGAAUUUUUCUCACACAGAUUUCUUUUAAAUGUUUAGUUUAAAAAGGUCUGAAACUACUGAUAUGUGAUUUUCAAACAAAUUCUGUCUUAGUAUCUUUGUUUUUCUUUAAAUAUGAUGCAAAACUACUGAGUAUAUUUGCAAUCCAUGUGAAGUGAAAACAAAUGUUAGAUAACAUUUGUUAUCACUUUAUUUGUUAACUCCCCUCAGAAUCCAUCAUGCAUUGAAUGGGUUUUUAUGAACCAUAUGGGCAUUAGUCAAUUAUUUUUAAGUUACUCAUCAAAGUUUCCUAAUUUCUUUAUUUUAGAGACCUAUUUCUAGUUUUCUGAACUGAUGGAUUUAUAUCUUCUGUCUAAAUGUAGAGUUAUACUUUAUUAUUCAAUAACCAUGACUUUUCUGAGAAAAUUGCCAUGUGGAAGAGUACUGUAGUUCUGCAGUUCUGCAAUAUGAAAGUGAUGAGGCAUCAGUUGUUUUAGUCUGUUUAUAACCAGUUUCCAUUGUAGUACUUCACCAUUCUCACCUGUUUCCUGCUUAAAAUAUUCAUUGAAACAGACACAUCAGGGCAUGAACCUCAGGUUGAACAGAAGUGUGAAAAUUGAACCAAAAGCUUCAUGUUGAUGUUUUAGAAAAGAGCAAAUCCUUCCAGGAGACUUAAUCAAUACUAAGAAUGACAGGGAAAUCAUAACAGAUGAGAGUAAUUGAUUGACGGAUACGGCAGGAUAAAAGAAUAUUUCUCUUUCUGUAUGAACUGCAGGUAUGGAAUACACUCAGCUGCAGCAAAUAAUAACAUUGAUUUACAUUUGUUUGGAUGAGCUAAUGGAAAUUCCCAUUGAGGGACUGACACUACCAUCUUCUCUUUGACAAUACAGCUUUAUGUGUUUUGAGAAGGCCUGGAAAAAGGCCAAUAAAAUGAUUGCACAUUCAGAGCCAGAGAUAAAUUGUAAAAUCUUUGUAGUUAUGUAGUUAAAUGAGAAAGUUUCCUUUGUUAGACUAAUUGAUGAAAAACUCAUCAUGUGUGUUUUAAUCUCUAAAUAUUAACAAAUAAAACUGACAAACUCCUCUUUUCCUGCAGUAUUCACAGCAAAUCAAUCUCUAUAGGAAUUGGGAAAAACACUUGCCAGUCAGAUUCUCUGACACAAGGGAAAUAAGAUAUCAAAUAAAAGGUUAUGUAAGCAAUAAAAGCCCACAAAAAACCCAAAAACCAAACCCAAACCAAAACAAAUAAAAAACAAACAAACAAACCCAAAAUGCCAAUGUUUUGAAGAUGAUUAUGGAUAAAAAUUUGAGCAAAAAUUAUUCAUAGAUUGGUACACCUAGUUUAGAACACAUCAUUUUUUCAUGAAAGUGCUGUAGUUCACUUAACAAUACGUAGAAAAGUUGAACACAAAGACUGGCAAGUCAAUGUGACAAGAAAGCUGAAGAAUGAAGCUAAUAUAUUACAUAUUAUCAGCUAUAAGAUCCUUUCAGCUUUUUAAUUUGUGUGUGAACAAAUGCCUUGAUGCAGCCUAGUUAGAAAAAACUAAAUUAGAAAGAACAGAAAAUACUUAAUUCUUUAUGAACAUUCUGACCCAAUGGAUUAAGCCAAAUCACAAUUUUCUGCUUUAAUCAAGGAGCCCUUUUGGGGACCUGACCAAAGCAAAUCUAGUGGAACAAUAAAAAGAAGAGAAAGCUACACAAAGUAAAGUUAAAAGAAAAAAUAAAAUCUAUAUACAAAAUAAAUGAUUUUUGCCUUUGCUAAAACAAUAUUUUAAUCCUAAUAUAGGUUUACUGACAAAAGCUUGACUAAUUCAUUGGACUCAGAGUACAAGUGUUUGUUUCAUUUUAGUCAUGAUGGAAGUGCUUGGAAGCUGUUACGUGCAUUUGCACAAAAUUUUCUUAAAUUAGUCUUAGAGGAUAGAUUGCUCUGCACUUCAAAAAAGAUUAUACUGUUAUAAAUUCACACACACACACUCAACUGUCCCUAUUACACUGUCACAAUUUUACAAUGAUUAAGAGGUUGGAGAGCUCAUCUGCAUACAUUUCUGAUUUGUUUUUUACAACCAAAUAUUCCUCUGUUGUAUUGUCCUACACUGCAGUACACCAAAACAGCAUGGAAAUAACUAACAACAAGAAAGCAUUGACAUUUGGACCAACCUAUAUUUUUUAGAAUGUUUAUCUCAGUGUUUACCAGAUCUGAGU